rnacentral:rRNA from 1 species
GACGUAGGGCGCGAGCGUUGUCCGGAUUUAUUGGGUUUAAAGGGUGCGUAGGCGGCUAAUUAAGUCAGCGGUGAAAUUCCACAGCUUAACUGUGAGAACUGCCAUUGAUACUGGUUGGCUUGAGUACAGAUGAGGUAGGCGGAAUUGACAGUGUAGCGGUGAAAUGCUUAGAUAUUGUCAAGAACACCUAUUGCGAAGGCAGCUUACUAAACUGUAACUGACGCUGAGGCACGAAAGCGUGGGGAUCAAACAGG